GUGGCUUAAUUUGACUCAACGCGGGAAAUCUUACCGGGUCCGGACACACUGAGGAUUGACAGGCAAUAUCUAAAUCGUUUAUAAUUCUUUUAUUAUAAUACGUAUUUAGUGUUAAAUAUGCUAGUCCUUUCAUGAUUAUGUGAUAGGUGGUGCAUGGCCGUUCUUAGUUCGUGGAGUGAUCUGUCUGCUUAAUUGCGUUUCACUAAGGGCCCAUAAAUUCAAGGUAUGUUAGCUAUCGUUUCUCAAUUGACCCCUUGUCUUCGAUAAGCGCGUGUCUUUUAGAGUUUAAACAUUGCGCAUGCUGUUGGGUCCUGAAAGCAACGAACGUGACCGCAACGUCUUAUUGCCUUUAUCUUGCUAUAUUUUAAUUUAAUUAAAAAUAGCUAACAGAGGCUAAUUUAAAAUUAGACGGACCGCUGUACUUUUCUUAAACCAGAGGAAGGUUGCGGCAAUAACAGGUCUGUGAUGCCCUUAGAUGUUCCGGGCUGCACACGUGCUACAAUGAUCAGUACAGUGAGCAUCUCAAUAUUAUACACCGUAUUAAGCGCUUAGUUGCGAUUAUUGGCUCAUUAUUGGGUCUUUUAAUUGUAUUUCUAAUGCGCGCGGUAAAGCCUGCUUCGAGAGUAAGUGGGUAAUCCAUUGGAAGUAAUGAUUUCUCUUUUUAUAGCACACCUAUAUACGGCAUUCAUUCCCGGGACGACUAGUUUCGUCUUUUUUGUGCGAAUGUAAUGUAUUCUUUAUCCGUAUGUGCGAUUGUCAAUUCAUGGUGGGGACAGACCAUUGUUAAUUGUUGGUCUCGG
rnacentral:rRNA from 1 species